UUCAGUUCACACGCCUGCCCUGCGCACUUCAUGGGCAGGGCCUUACAGAGGUCCCGGAGCUGUGUUUCCUCAGGUGAUUUGCUUUAUUCGUUUCAGUCUGGCCUCUCCUGGCUGCUUUCAGAGUGAGGUAAAUUGAUAGAGUUGCUGGAGUCAUCCCGGAGCCUGUGGUGAUCAAGACUGAGGACUCAGGAGCUGGCCAGACAAGACCUGUCUAAAGAGCUCGCAGCCAUGGCUCUCUCUGAAACACCCCUUAAAUGAUUAACAUGCCCAUGUGCAGACUAGAACGAGAAUCUGAAGUUGUAAGACAAAGGAGACAAAGGAAAACAGAAGACGGGCACACCAAGCUCUAUCCCGCUCUUGGCUGCCCAUGGGGCCUCCAAGAGAAGGGUCAGCACUAAUGAGCAAAACCGGUCUCUCAACUCCUGCUGUGACAUGGCUGCUCAGUGACUCCCAGACAAGAACCUCACCUGGGAAGAUUGUCAGCCUUUCCUCGGAGACGUUUAGUUCUUAGCUAACAAGUGGGAUAGUGACCCUCACCCUUCCUGUCCCAGGCGGCUGUAUAACAGGAGGGGUGGAAUGGAAGAACCCUUGAUACAAGUGUGGAGUCUAAGGUGCCACGGCUUACAGGCUGCAAGAGCUAGUAGGCAAAAGGGACCCCCCGCUCAGCCGCCAUGCUUCUCACCGUCAUGCUGAUGUUGGACGAAGCCCCUGAAGCUGUGAACAAGCCCCCAAUUAAAUGUUUUGUAAGAGUUGCCUUUGUCAUGGUGUCUCUUCACAGCAGUAGAACUGUG
rnacentral:lncRNA from 1 species